rnacentral:misc_RNA from 1 species
AAAUCCGAGAAUUUCACCUCCAACAACGAAAUAUAAACGGCCCCAACUGUCCCUGUUAAUCAUUACUUCGGUCCCAUAAACCAACAAAAUAGCACCAAAGUCCUAUUCCAUUAUUCCAUGCUAAUGUAUUCAAGCGUAGGCCUGCUUUGAACACUCUAAUUUUUUCAAAGUAAACGGCCUGCGUCCCCACGCCCCACAAUUAAGUGCAACGGGAUCCUCAGGCAGAAAGACCCGAGCCUGCCGUCCGACCGAAGCCGACAGCCUGCCCGAGCCCGACAUCCGACUACGAGCUUUUUAACUGCAACAACUUUAAUAUACGCUAUUGGAGCUGGAAUUACCGC